GAAGCGGCAACAGCUCAAAUUUGAAAUCUGGCGCAAGCCCGAGUUGUAAUUUGUAGAGGAUGCUUCUGGGUAGCGGCCGGUCUAAGUUCCUUGGAACAGGACGUCAUAGAGGGUGAGAAUCCCGUACGUGACUGGCUUGCACCCUCCACGUAGCUCCUUCGACGAGUCGAGUUGUUUGGGAAUGCAGCUCUAAAUGGGAGGUAAAUUUCUUCUAAAGCUAAAUACCGGCCAGAGACCGAUAGCGCACAAGUAGAGUGAUCGAAAGAUGAAAAGCACUUUGGAAAGAGAGUUAAAAAGCACGUGAAAUUGUUGAAAGGGAAGCGCCCGCAACCAGACUUUGCGGCAGUGUUCGGCCGGUCUUCUGACCGGUUUACUCGCUGUCGUGAGGCCAUCAUCGUCUGGGACCGCUGGAUAAGACCUUAGGAAUGUGGCUCCCCUCGGGGAGUGUUAUAGCCUCUGGUGAUGCAGCGCGUCUCGGGCGAGGUCCGCGCUUCGGCAAGGAUGAUGGCGUAAUGGUUGUCGGCGGCCCGUCUUGAAACACGGACCAAGGAGUCUAACAUCUAUGCGAGUGUUCGGGUGUCAAACCCCUACGCGUAAUGAAAGUGAACGGAGGUGGGAACUUUUUGUGCACCAUCGACCGAUCCUGAUGUCCUCGGAUGGAUUUGAGUAAGAGCAUAGCUGUUGGGACCCGAAAGAUGGUGAACUAUGCCUGAAUAGGGUGAAGCCAGAGGAAACUCUGGUGGA
rnacentral:rRNA from 1 species